CACUGACCUAAGUUGACUACUCCUAGUUCGCCCUGUACUGAAAUCUCAUCGUCUUUCUCACUCGUUUUAACCAUAGUUUGGGAUUUCGUCCCGCCUCCAAGCGACAUUUGAUAACCAUAUGGCUGCAACGUCCACCGCUGAUUGGUUGUUAGAAGCCAUUAUAUUAACAUAUCCAAGUAAGAGAGGAACAGAGGUUGCUCGGUUGCACAUGCGCAUAUAGAGGACGUCUGGGACGUGGGCUGGACCUAGCCACUGUGGCUUCCUAGGCAAGCAUCAACACCAGUGUCCCCUAUCCAAGGCAAACCUUGGCUGGCAAGUCAGCAGCCACUCAGCAGUUGGUGCCCUAGGCAGCUGCCUAUAUUACCUGAGAGAUUGACCGUCCCUGCUUAUGCAUUUCAAUGCUGAAGCAGCAGUUUAUGUGCCUGGCAUCAUGGAACAUAACAAUGAAUACUUGUGGGCUUUAUGUAACAUGCUUCCCAAUAAAAUAAAAUUGAAGCAGAGUAGUUUGAAGUACUUUGUUAUGGAUAUCUGUGUAGAUUUGUUGCAUUGUUAUCGCUGCAGAAAUGUGAAAUUCGCAAACAACUUGUAUAGAUAUACGUAUAACAGUAUGUAGCAUGGUGUUUACAGAAUCAUACCUUUGAGAAAAAGGUUCAGAGGAUGUGGCACAGUGAUGAAUUAUUUUAACAAAUAACCUGAAUCUGAUCAAUUAAACAUGUUACAAACUGAGGAAUAAAGUAAUUUAUGACAGUG